rnacentral:rRNA from 1 species
UACAGAGGUCCCAAGCGUUGUUCGGAUUCACUGGGCGUAAAGGGUGCGUAGGUGGUCGGGUAAGUCUGAUGUGAAAUCUCUGGGCUCAACCCAGAAAUGGCAUUGGAUACUAUUCGGCUUGAGGAGUGGAGGGGGGACUGGAAUACUUGGUGUAGCAGUGAAAUGCGUAGAUAUCAAGUGGAACACCAGUGGCGAAGGCGAGUCCCUGGACACUUCCUGACACUGAGGCACGAAAGCUAGGGGAGCAAACAGG